rnacentral:tRNA from 1 species
GGUCCCAUAGUCUAGUGGUUAAGACGUAUCCUUGACGUGGAUGAGGCGGCAGUUCAAUUCUGCCUGGGGCCA